rnacentral:rRNA from 1 species
AUUGAACGCUGGCGGCAGGCCUAACACAUGCAAGUCGAGCGGAUGAAGGGAGCUUGCUCCUGGAUUCAGCGGCGGACGGGUGAGUAAUGCCUAGGAAUCUGCCUGGUAGUGGGGGAUAACGUCCGGAAACGGGCGCUAAUACCGCAUACGUCCUGAGGGAGAAAGUGGGGGAUCUUCGGACCUCACGCUAUCAGAUGAGCCUAGGUCGGAUUAGCUAGUUGGUGGGGUAAAGGCCUACCAAGGCGACGAUCCGUAACUGGUCUGAGAGGAUGAUCAGUCACACUGGAACUGAGACACGGUCCAGACUCCUACGGGAGGCAGCAGUGGGGAAUAUUGGACAAUGGGCGAAAGCCUGAUCCAGCCAUGCCGCGUGUGUGAAGAGGGUCUUCGGAUUGUAAAGCACUUUAAGUUGGAAGGAAGGGCAGUAAGUUAAUACCUUGCUGUUUUGACGUUACCAACAGAAUAAGCACCGGCUAACUUCGUG